rnacentral:lncRNA from 1 species
GUGGGAGUUAGGCCUGUCCAGUUUAUAAAAUCUUGCCUAAAUGUAGCUAAAUCUUGCUUUCUGAGUACAGGCCCUGAAUCAUGGUUACCACUACUUUUGCAAAGAGAGCCUGAGGAACUGAAAGGCUGAUCCUCAGUAGCUUAUGGGCACAUGUACCACAGACCCAAGCCUCAAUAGCCACUUACACUGGCCCUGCUUGAAAUUCUACCUCCAGGCAACAAUGCAGAAGGCAGCAGAACUCCUGAAAAGGACCACGGGAUAAGGCCCAAAGAAAGGAGGAGAAGAGCUCUCAGAAUUUCCAAUUAGCACAUUUAAGCAGUGAAAACGUAUCAGACCUGACCAGAAUACAAUACAUUGUAUGAAUAGGACGACAAUUCCAAUUAGUGGAAGAUACAAAACCUCAGCUCUCAAUGUGAAAACCCACCAGAAAGGUGA